ensembl:lncRNA
GUGCCCCUGCGCACGGACUCAAGGACGGCACAGUCCCAGACAGCGGCUCCGUCCCUGACCGUCCUCCUCUGGCCCAGGAGUCCAGGGGAAAGGUGGUGUCAUCUCCUCCACCACCGUCCCCCUUUGGUGUAUCGGUUCCCCGCUCGCCUGCAGGGACACCAAGUUUGGCGGGGAGGGCGGAGGGAGGGUUGGGAGGAGCGCGGAGGGUGGGCGCCGCGGGCUGGAUGGAGUUUAUGGGCUGCGGAGAGGCCGCCGGACCGGACCGGGGACCAGAGCGCAGCGCCCUUCCUCGGGCGGGACAGCCUUCGGUUCGGCGGCUCGAAGCCUCACGCGCCACUUCCGCCGGCCCGGGGCCUCCUCCGGGAGGGAAGGGCACCCCAGGGCAAACUCCCUCGCCCUCCUGCAGCCCCCUCCUCUUUGCGGCGCGCGCGCUCCCAGGUGCGCAGCCCACCCAGCCGCCUCGGCCUCCCUUCCCUGGCGGGGGCAGGACCCGGCGGCAGGGGCGCAGCGCGGCGGGCGGGAUCCGGGGGUCGCGCCCCGCGCCCGCCAGGGCACCCACUCCGCAGUUCCAACGCGGCGGCUCGGAAAGCGGCGCGCAGGCCGUGCCGGGCGGGGGCGCUCUUGAGCCUGGUUUGGGAUUUUUACCCACCGCGCCAGCCGCAUGCCGGGGCAGGGGCGGUGGGCAGUGGGAGCCGCCGGCGGGCGGUGUGGCCGCUGGGUGCGGGUGCGGGGCGUCUAGGGCGCUGCGGCUUUAGAACCCGGUGUAGAGGCCGGCCGAGGGAUUUCGGAUCCCCGGGGAUUCGGGAGACGAAGGAAGGGGAAGGGGGAUCGGUGGGAGGGGAGUCCGCCAAACGGAACGUUCGGGGAAUCGGAAGGGGCCUGGCUGAUCCCACGCCCCCACCCUCUCCGCAGCCGAAGGGGGUGGCGAGCAAGGGGCGGGGUGGGGGUGGGGGUGUCAACGAUCUGGGGGAGGGCGAGUGCCCGAGGGCCGGACCACCCCCUCACCCCCGCCCCCCACGUGCCGAGCCCUCCUCGUCCCCGGAUACGCGCGCCCCUGAGGGCUGUGCAUUUGCACUCGCGGACGCGCGCGCCCACACAGGGUCUGACUUCAGGUCAACUUUCACGCGGCUCGCGGGUGUGUGUGCACACGGCCGUGUCCGCACGCGCGUGCACACCCCCGCCUCAGGUGCCCACCUCCCGUCGCCUCCCAAAGUCUCGUCUCCUAGACCUCGGGGGCUUCUGCUCCAAACGGUGGCCUGGGGCGGCGGCGGGGGCGCGCGGGGCGGACCCCGAGGAGCGGGCGAGGCUGCCUCCCGGCUCCCCUCGCCGCCCCCGCGGUCCAACUUCCCCUCCCGAGGCCACCUCCGGACACCCCCAGUCCACCGACGUGCGGAGCCAGGCCGCCGCCCGCCCUCCGGCCGCCCCCGCCCGCGUCCCCCGCCCCUCCUCCAGCCCUCCCCGCUCCGGCUCCUACAGGAAACCUUCGAUCACGCUCAGAAAGAAUGUGCUACAACCUCGGCGCUGCCGCGGCCGCCGACACCGCGCCCGAGCCGGAGCCGGAGCCGGAGCCCGAGCCCGAGCCGCCCCGCCUGCCCGGCCGGCCCCGGGCUCGCAGCGCGCGGUCCCCGCCGCCGCCCCGCGCUCGCCCCGCGCUUGACGCAGUGA